AGUGAACGCUGGCGGUAGGCCUAACACAUGCAAGUCGAGCGGCAGCACAGUAAGAGCUUGCUCUUACGGGUGGCGAGUGGCGGACGGGUGAGGCAUACAUCGGAAUCUACUUUUUCGGGGGGGAUAACGUAGGGAAACUUACGCUAAUACCGCAUACGACCUACGGGUGGAAGCAGGGGAUCUUCGGACCUUGCGCGAUUGAAUUAGCCGAUGUCGGAUUAGCUAGUUGGCGGGGUAAAGGCCCACCAAGGCAACGAUCCGUAGCUGGUCUGAGAGGAUGAUCAGCCACACUGGAACUGAGACACGGUCCAGACUCCUACGGGAGGCAGCAGUGGGGAAUAUUCGACAAUGGGCGCAAGCCUGAUCCAGCCAUACCGCGUGGGUGAAGAAGGCCUUCGGGUUGUAAAGCCCUUUUGUUGGGAAAGAAAAGCAGCAGGUUAAUACCCCGCUGUUCUGACGGUACCCAAAGAAUAAGCCCCGGCUAACUUCGUG
rnacentral:rRNA from 1 species